CCUACGGGAGGCUGCAGUGAGGAAUAUUGGUCAAUGGCCGUAAGGCUGAACCAGCCAAGUCGCGUGAAGGAAGAAGGAUCUCUGGUUUGUAAACUUCUUUUACCGGGGCAUAAAUGUAUCUACGUGUGGAUAUUUGCAUGUACCCUCUAAAUAAGCAUCGGCUAACUCAGUGCCAGCAGCCGCGGUAAUACGGAGGUGGCGAGCGUUAUCCGGGUUUAGUGGGGUUAAAGGGUGCGUAGGUUGUGUUUUAAGUCUGCGGUGAAAGUUUGUGGCCCAACCAUAUAACUGCCGUUGAAACUGGAGGACUUGAGUGUAGUAGAGGUAGGCGGAAUGCGUAGUGUAGCGGUGAAAUGCGUAGAUAGCAGGAAGAACACCGAUUGCGAAGGCGGCUUACUGGGCCAUAACUGACGCUGAGGCUCGAAAGCGUGGGGAGCAAACAGGAUUAGAUACCCUGGUAGUC
rnacentral:rRNA from 1 species